rnacentral:tRNA from 1 species
UCUCAAUAGCUCAGUGGUAGAGCAGUCAAUGAUUAACUGACUGGUCGUAGGUUCAAUUCCGACUUUUUAAGAA